CAGUAGCCGCGGGAAUACGAAGGGGGCUAGCGUUGUUCGGAUUUACUGGGCGUAAAGCGCACGUAGGCGGACUUUUAAGUCAGGGGUGAAAUCCCGGGGCUCAACCCCGGAACUGCCUUUGAUACUGGGAGUCUUGAGUUCGAGGGAGGUGAGUGGAAUUGCGAGUGUAGAGGUGAAAUUCGUAGAUAUUCGCAGGAACACCAGUGGCGAAGGCGGCUCACUGGCUCGAUACUGACGCUGAGGUGCGAAAGCGUGGGGAGCAAACAGGAUUAGAUACCCCUGUAGUCCCUGUCUCUUAUAA
rnacentral:rRNA from 1 species